CGCUAAUACCGCAUACGUCCUACGGGAGAAAGCAGGGGACCUUCGGGCCUUGCGCUAUCAGAUGAGCCUAGGUCGGAUUAGCUAGUUGGUGGGGUAAUGGCUCACCAAGGCGACGAUCCGUAACUGGUCUGAGAGGAUGAUCAGUCACACUGGAACUGAGACACGGUCCAGACUCCUACGGGAGGCAGCAGUGGGGAAUAUUGGACAAUGGGCGAAAGCCUGAUCCAGCCAUGCCGCGUGUGUGAAGAAGGUCUUCGGAUUGUAAAGCACUUUAAGUUGGGAGGAAGG
rnacentral:rRNA from 1 species